rnacentral:rRNA from 1 species
UACGAAGGGGGCUAGCGUUGCUAGGAAUCACUGGGCGUAAAGGGUGCGUAGGCGGGUCUUUAAGUCAGGGGUGAAAUCCUGGAGCUCAACUCCAGAACUGCCUUUGAUACUGAGGAUCUUGAGUUCGGGAGAGGUGAGUGGAACUGCGAGUGUAGAGGUGAAAUUCGUAGAUAUUCGCAAGAACACCAGUGGCGAAGGCGGCUCACUGGCCCGAUACUGACGCUGAGGCACGAAAGCGUGGGGAGCAAACAGG